rnacentral:misc_RNA from 1 species
GUUACUAUGGUCCAUUCUUCUGGAGGAUGUUCUUCAGCUUCUCAUUCGCAGCCACGAGCUCAGCAGCUAUUCCUGGCUCGUUAGCAGAAUGGCCUGCGUCAGAAAUGAUCUUUAAUUCAGCCUCGGGCCACACUUUAUGAAGAUCCCAAGCGGACAUCAUUGGGCAGCAAACGUCAUAUCUUCCCUGUACAAUUACAGCAUUGAUAUGUCGUAUCUUGUCAAUAUUAUCUAGCAGAAAGGAAUCUGAAGGGAAAAACCCCUUAUUU